rnacentral:rRNA from 1 species
UUUUAAAAUUUUAAAUAUUUUAGUACGAAAGGAUUGAAUAUUUUAAUUAGAUUAUAUUUAUAUUGAAUUUUAUUAAUUUUAAUUUUAAAAUUUAUUUGUAUUAUUAUAAUUUUUU